rnacentral:rRNA from 1 species
UACGUAGGGUGCAAGCGUUAAUCGGAAUUACUGGGCGUAAAGCGUGCGCAGGCGGUGAUGUAAGACAGAUGUGAAAUCCCCGGGCUCAACCUGGGAACUGCAUUUGUGACUGCAUCGCUGGAGUGCGGCAGAGGGGGAUGGAAUUCCGCGUGUAGCAGUGAAAUGCGUAGAUAUGCGGAGGAACACCGAUGGCGAAGGCAAUCCCCUGGGCCUGCACUGACGCUGAGACACGAAAGCGUGGGUAGCAAACAGG